UGGGGAAUAUUGCACAAUGGGCGAAAGCCUGAUGCAGCGACGCCGCGUGAGGGAUGACGGCCUUCGGGUUGUAAACCUCUUUCAGCAGGGACGAAGCGCAAGUGACGGUACCUGCAGAAGAAGCACCGGCUAACUACGUGCCAGCAACCGCGGUAAUACGUAGGGUGCAAGCGUUGUCCGGAAUUACUGGGCGUAAAGAGUUCGUAGGCGGUUUGUCGCGUCGUUUGUGAAAACCAGCAGCUCAACUGCUGGCUUGCAGGCGAUACGGGCAGACUUGAGUACUGCAGGGGAGACUGGAAUUCCUGGUGUAGCGGUGAAAUGCGCAGAUAUCAGGAGGAACACCGGUGGCGAAGGCGGGUCUCUGGGCAGUAACUGACGCUGAGGAACGAAAGCGUGGGUAGCGAACAGG
rnacentral:rRNA from 2 species